rnacentral:tRNA from 1 species
GCCGGCGUAGCUCAGCGGUAGAGCAGGCGACUUGUAAUCGCCAGGUCGAGGGUUCGAGUCCCUCCGCCGGCUCCA